rnacentral:rRNA from 1 species
AACGAACGUUGGCGGCGUGGAUGAGGCAUGCAAGUCGAACGCGAAAGCCGCAAGGCGAGUAAAGUGGCGGACGGGCGAGUAACACGUAAUCAAGCUACCUGCGAGACGGGAAUAACCUCGGGAAACCGAGGCUAAGACCCGAUGGUUUUUUCGGACCGCAUGGUCUGGAAAGUAAAUGGGCGGGAUCCUCCGGGACCGCCUGCUCGCAGAGGUGAUUGCGGCCCAUCAGCUAGUUGGUAGGGUAAUGGCCUACCAAGGCAACGACGGGUAGCCGGCCUUAGAGGGUGGUCGGCCGCACUGGGACUGAGACACUGCCCAGACUCCUACGGGAGGCUGCAGUCGAGAAUCUUCCGCAAUGGGCGAAAGCCUGACGGAGCGACGCCGCGUGGAGGAUGAAGGCCUUCGGGUUGUAAACUCCUGUCACGAGUUAAGAAGGGAAUGCAGCGAACAGCUGUAGAUCUUGACGUAAGCUCGAGAGGAAGCACUGGCUAACUCUGUG